AAUCAGCUUUUGUAAACCCUUUUGCACCAAGUUGGCUAGCCCCACAAGCUAGCAUGAGGAUGUCAAAAAAGAGAAUAAAGUUAAAAGUGAAACUAAAUAUCUCAAUGAACAAAUUUAUCAGAAGUCCAUAUUUAUGUGGAUGUCUAUAUAGGACAAACAAUUUUUUUAGACAAUUAUAGAAUAUAGUCACGAAAAUCAAUCCUAAUAUAUAUAAUUUAAAAAAACCAUCAAAAUUUUCAAUAUUACACCAAAUAAGAAUAUAAAGACCAACUAUAUUCUCUUUAUGUAUAAUGUGUUGUGGUAAGAUUCAAAAAAAUUAACUUACUUUACAGUAAGGAAAAACUAGAUUUUUAAUUCCAAAUUUACAAUAAAAACAUAACAUUUUAUAAAACUAAACAAUUGACAUAAUAGUAUAAAAAUAUGAAAAAAAAAACAAAAUACUAUCCGCGCGUAGCGCGGACAAGGACCUAGUUUAUAUAAAUGGACAAACACAGCAAAAAGAAAAGAGAUAAAAAAAAGGAAGAUAAAAUUAGUGUUUAGCGGGAGAAAAUAGUGAUUAGUUAAUACCGUUAUAGUUGUCCAUCUGAUUUGUCACAAUUGUAAAGACAGGCCAAUAACUUUCGUCCGCAAAACCUCUUGAGACUUCAAUUCUCAUCCAAUAGAAAAUCAAUAAUCUCUUAUAUGUUAUUUGAGAAGUAUUACAACAUUUUUUUGUAGCCACGUGUCAUCACUAGAAUGAUUUUUAGAAUCCUUAGAGAAAUAGGUUGGUCCAUCUAAAUAUAUAAUAAACUUUUUAUUAAACCACAAUAAAUACAUUAUUAAUGUGCUUC
rnacentral:lncRNA from 1 species